rnacentral:lncRNA from 1 species
GCGGCUCGGCCUGGCGGAGAAUUUUCCUUGAAUUGGGACACUGCACCCCUAUAUAGCCUAUGGGUCACCUUUACCCUUGGCAACCUACCUACCUCACCAGCAUUGCCACCCAAUCUGCACUUUGCCUGCAGAGUGACAUCCUUCAAGCCUCCACACUGCAUCACAGUCAGGAUCAAGCAAAAGUCCUCCAGAGCUACCACAGGCUGUGCUGCCCAAAACAUAAUCAGAAACGAUACAGUUGACAUCAGCCGACAUCAUCAGAUGAACGUACUGCAUCACCUGAGUUGUGAUGUAGAUGAAGGAAAUGAAGACUCAAGAUUCCUAAUGUAAGCCUAUUCCUGGCAGUCUCUAGUGUUUGGUCAAGCACUUAAAAGGUCCUGUUUGCGAUGCACGACUAGCCCCAUAAGGAUUGGAUCGGGAGUGAGAGUCCUUGCCACACUAGUGGGGCUAAUGCACGACAGGCAACGCACGGCGGGUGACAGAAAAUAGCAUGUUUGGAACUGGUAAAUGGCAGAAUUGGGACACAACAAAAAGCAAAAGGCAGACGACAGGCGACGGCAGAUAUGGAACUCCAUAGAGACAUGUGCUUGAGUAUGCAACGGCUGCGUGGGAUUCUGGUUUUAGUAGAGCUAAAACCAGUAUACCAUCAUUGGAAAGAAUCCAACAGCAGGCUGCCAGAUUUUGUACCAACAACAACAGUAGGGUCGAGAGCUCCGUAACCAGUACCCUAAAUAAGCUGGGUUGGGAAACUUUCCGGUCAAGAAGGAGAAACCAGAGACUUUGUGUGCUCGACUAGAUGAAAUACGGAUUGGUUGAUGUUAACCUAGUUUAUCCAGCCUAACACCAGGAGAACUAGGGGGAAUGAUCAAAAAUUUCUACAAAUUCGUCAUAAGUCUAAAGCAUUCCAGGACUCAUUUUUUGUUUCCCCUAUAAAAGACUGGAACAAUCUACCUGUUGUAAAUAGUUCUUCACAGGAUGUAUUCAAAUCCAAGCUAAAGCAGCACCGUUAAAAUGAUUUGGUCUAGUCAUUCUACACGCUGUGCACUUCUCAGAAGUUAGCGAGGAUGUGGACAGCAUGCAGCCAAUCACAACGCUGCACGCGCUGUCCACAUGACUCACUGGGGGACUCCCCUAAAUUGACUAAUCUUUUAAACUAAACUUCAUCGUACUUUCACUACAGUAUUUCACCUAUAUUUAUGCAUUAAAAAUACCAGUGAAAAUAUGUGUAUUAAUAUUAUGCCAAAUAUAUCAAAUCUCUGAGAACAAUUUGAUUGCUUUUCCUUCGUUUUACUCAUUGUUUUUUUACAUUGUUUAGGUUUUGUAGAAACAUUUUCAAUUAAUCUCCCUCCUUAUAAGUUUAAUAGCUUAUUGAUUAUUCUUCCAUAUUAGAUCCAUUCCAUAGUCUGUCACAGCUCGUACUUCUGCUCUUUUGAAAGCCUUUAAUGUCCGCGCCUGGGAGGCGUUAAAACUUAUCAGAGUGGGGUAUGACAACAAGUUUAACAACCUGUGGAUGGAGUCCCUUCUCAUAAACAUAUCCGAAGUAAUUACAUCAACUUAUUUUCUUGGUAAGUUGCUUUACUCACAAGUACUGCCACUGGCUAUUCAACUACGGCCCAUGCGGGCGUGGCACCACUCGCUGGCAACAGGUCUACCAGGAACUUACCCCGCACGGUGCACUUGCACUUUUAUACCCAGACAUCGAUGACAAUUCAUUAAAGGUACUCUAUCAUAUGUGCAUUAUGCUCAAAUUGUGAAGACAGGUACCUAAGGCAAACUGCCAAUGAGAAUUUUUAAAAAAUGCAUCUUUAGAGGUGUCAUUAGAAAUGGCCUUCUUUCACUGCUAUCUUCAAAACGAUCACUUGCCAGAAAAAAAAAUUCAAAAGGAGUAUUAAUCAAUCAGUCACUUUUUAUGAUGGACUGUAUUUCUAAAUAUACUUGUGUUUGUCUGUUGAACUUGGGACAAGUCCAUAAGUUAUUCAUUCAUGAUUUAUUAUUAAAAUCUCAAUAGCAGCCAAAGGCUGAAUUGCAGAGAUCUUUACAUGCAUACAUUUGAAACGAAAGAUUAAGUAAGAAAUAAAAUACAAAGAGGAUGCAAUAAAAAAACAAACCAUAACAAAAGUAUGGAAUCGAGUUAAACAAACAGGCAAAACAUUGCCAAUGACUUGUCGUCCAGCAACUGGAUAAGAUAGGACGUCACACUUUUCUUAAAAAGUUCUGUUCCACAGGACGGUACAGAAAAUUGUACUGCUUUAGUAGUUGAUAUGUAGUCAAGACAGCAGAGAUGAGACAUUUAUUCACUUCAGAAGUAGGUAUAGACUUUGCAAGUGACUCGCACAGCUUUUGCCUUUAUAUCUGUAACAUGUCUUACCCAAGUGUUUGGAGGGCAUUAUCACAGGAAUCAUAUUCCAAGCCAAGGAUAAUCUUGCAUGUUCUAGAUUAACACACAGUGUAUUAGUUAUCUGUAAUGAUCUUGCUAGAAGUGAAAUCAUUGACAACAGCCAAAAGAAACUAUAGGUAUCAAUAACAAAACAAGAAGACAAAGAUGAUCUUCUAUUUUUACUCAUUUAUGUAUGUAGGGCACUACAUAUGCAAUGAAUUCUGUGGGGAGAUCUAAAGGCUGAGCUCUACACAAAUGCAGAUUUAUUAUUACUUAAAUGGAGGUUUAAUCUGAAUACAUCAGGGCAUAUUUGCAGAUCUGGUGGCAUUUAACAAUCAAUGCACACUCAGCUAGAUGACUUGUUGUUGCCGUGAAAUAUAUCAUUGAGAAAUGUUGAUCUGAGUCAUUAUGCCUCCCUCUCAAAAAACGUGUCUACAUGUAGGUGUAGUCACACCAUCUUCAGUAGACCAUACUUCUAAAUGGAAACAACUAGACAAACAACGGCUUGCCAACUCCUGACAAGUUGGUAAAUGUGUCCUUGCUGUUGAGUACACUGCUUUAAGUUUGUAUUUGCAAAGGUUUGACUCAAGAAUCUCCAUGGCACGUUUCGAAGGACAACUAUAUGUUGUGUGACCCUU